CUUGGCUAUACAAUCUAUACUCCUAUGCAAGUUUAUAUUAUCGCUGACUUUCAAACGGGACAUCCACUCGGGUGCAUGUGCUUUAAGCGAAAUGGAAAGAAAUAAAGGCUUUUAAAAGGAUCAGUUUAUCAAAAAUGUAAACGUAAAGCGAUAGCGAUGUGUAUUAAAGACGGAGUGAGUAAAGGGAAUAAAGUCUGAGAUUUUGCGUUGUUUAAAAGGUGGUAUCUCUGGAAUCUUUGUGGGUUGCUGUAAAAUGGGCGGAGGAGACGAAAUAUGCGGUUG